UAGAGUUUGGAUCCUGGCUCAGAUUGAACGCUGGCGGCAGGCCUAACACAUGCAAGUCGAGCGGAAACGACUUAACUGAACCUUCGGGGAACGUUAAGGGCGUCGAGCGGCGGACGGGUGAGUAAUGCCUGGGAAAUUGCCCUGAUGUGGGGGAUAACCAUUGGAAACGAUGGCUAAUACCGCAUAAUAGCUUCGGCCCAAAGAGGGGGACCUUCGGGCCUCUCGCGUCAGGAUAUGCCCAGGUGGGAUUAGCUAGUUGGUGAGGUAAGGGCUCACCAAGGCGACGAUCCCUAGCUGGUCUGAGAGGAUGAUCAGCCACACUGGAACUGAGACACGGUCCAGACUCCUACGGGAGGCAGCAGUGGGGAAUAUUGCACAAUGGGCGCAAGCCUGAUGCAGCCAUGCCGCGUGUAUGAAGAAGGCCUUCGGGUUGUAAAGUACUUUCAGCAGUGAGGAAGGUGGUGCAGUUAAUAGCUG
rnacentral:rRNA from 1 species